UUCUUGUUAUUUUUUUGUUUUACUUAUUACUUUUGAUUAUUACAUUUAAUCCUACUUUAUGUUUAAUAUCAUUGUGCAAAUUGUAUGGUUAAAUGAGUGAUACAUUUUUUAAAGCCAAGUAGCUAAGGCUCCAGAUGGGAAUGGAGGAGUGUAUUCAGGUAUCUGUUUAUUAAACUUAGUAGAACAUGUAUUAUUACUGUUCUUAAACUUUAUUCUCUCAUUUCAGUAAUUAUUUGGAAGUAAUUUAAUUAAUUGGCUCCUAAUAUGUUAAUCAGCGCUCAAAUCUUCCAAAUUAUUGGAAGAUAUGUCAAUGAAAGGAAUUAAAUAUGUGAAUUGCUGUGGAGUUGAUAAUGCACUGGUAAGUUUUCUUCCUUUCCUGGUAGUGUAUUAGUUUGGCAAAAGACAAAAAGAAAGGAAGGGGAAAUUUAAAGGACAUUUUCUUUUGGCAUUAUUUGGUUGUCAAAUGGGCAAGAGAAACAAGAGAACCAAAAAUUUUUCUGCCUUUCCUCUUAUGCUCACCAAAAUUUUCAAUUUAAACGUGGUUAGAUUUGGAAUAAUUGCAUACGUGUCCAAAUUGUUUUUCCUCCCACUACAUGACAGGCCAAUACUAUUUUCUCUACUUUUCUUUAUUUCCUCUUUUAGAUAUCACACGAACAAUGGAUCUGAUUGCGCUUCCUUUGGUUGAAGAUUUAGUAUUCUUCCAUUUAAAGACAUAGUGAUUAGAAUCUCGAAAGCAGGUUCUUGUAGCUGAUCCAACUUUCUUGGGAUAUUUCAUUGAUAAAGGUGUUGCUGCUGCUGCGAAAGUUGUAUGCAUGCCCUCAGGGUGGUGUGUUUGUAUAUUGAGGUGAAGGUGACCCUUUAACUGCAGUUGAAUACGGUGAGUUGAAUCCAUCAAUGCAUUCUUUGAUCAAUCAAGAAAUCGGACUUCUUCGAUUUUGUUGGUGCAAGAAAUCAACUGGGGCUUUAUUUUUGGAGGCUCCAGUUUGAGGGUCGAAAAAGCCAGCGGAAAGUAUGGUCAAUUGAUAUCCCUUACUGCAGGUAGAGGCACAAUACAGAUUGUAUUUGUUAUUAAGCAUUAUCUAGGCUAGUAUAUCAUUUUUAUAAUCAAAUUAUCUUUCUUUAUUAAUUGUUUAUAAGUUAACUCUUUCUUACCUGUUACCCAUUCAAAUAUCAUUUUAAUCAAAUUUGAAACACCUUUUACUAUCUUUUCUAUAACCACUGAUUCCCACUAUCCCACAGAGCUUGACGGGAAGAAGGGAAAAUUAAAAAAAAAAAAAAAAAUUGAAAAAAAAUUAAAAAAAUUAUUACACUGCUCAAAUGAUGUGCCAAAAACCAGCCUGCCAAGUUUUUUUGUGUGUGUGUGUGCGUGUGUGCGUGUGUGCGUGUGUGUGUGUGUGUGUGUGUGUCUGAUAUCUCUCUCUCUCUCUCUCUCUCUGUUAGAUAUUCUUUCAAGCUAGUUCUUGUCACUGACUCUCUCUCUCUCUCUCUUUAAUUGUUGUCCUUAGUAAUUCUCUUGCUUAACUACCAAUUUAUUCCAUUCCUUUUCAUCUCACUUUUUCCUUUAAAUAGCAUUGCCACUUGAAUAUGUCACCUUCUCUUGCUUUUGUAAAUAGCACGUGGUUACUCAGUAUUAUCCUCUGCCUCAUUUGAACUUUAAGGUGGUUACUCAGUAUUAUCCUCUUCCUCUGUCUUCAACUUUUUCUUUGAUGGAUUUAUAUCCUAAAUACUGAAUUCUACAAAUGCUUGUGAUUCAAGUACCAAAUUCAGGUACCCAAAUCUUCAAACUGGUAUUUUUUUCUUCUUUACAAUGAUUUCAUGGAACAUAUUAAAUAAUUCAUUGAAUUCUUUAUACCUGUUUAACUUUACAUUUUGGUUUCUUAAAGUUACUAGAUUGGAAAAGUACCUUGACUGUCAGGAAGCUCAUUAAUAGGUGAAGUAAUUUAAUGUCAUUUGCGUUCCAGCUGCUACAGUAGAAGCAUUGGAUUUUGGAUGCAUUGCAUGUUGAUUAUUAUCCAAAAUGGUUGAGAGACUAGGCGACUGUAAUGUAGUUUUUUUCCUAGUAAACAAUGUGUUUUUUUCUUUUUCCUCUUUUAAUGUAAGCUUAUUGUACUUGAUACAUUUAUGCUUAGUGUACUUGGUGUUGAAUUUUAAUGUAAAAGAUAUUUAGUGGUAAUAAAGUAUUAUUCAUUUUA